UACAGAGGGUGCAAGCGUUGCUCGGAUUUACUGGGCGUAAAGCGUACGCAGACGGUGAGAAAGGUCGGAUGUGAAAGCCCCGGGCUCAACCCGGGAACUGCAUCCGAAACCAUCUCGCUCGAGUGUGGGAGAGGGAAGCGGAAUUCCUGGUGUAGAGGUGAAAUUCGUAGAUAUCAGGAGGAACACCGGCGGCGAAGGCGGCUUCCUGGCCCAUUACUGACGUUCAGGUACAAAAGCGUGGGUAGCAAACAGG
rnacentral:rRNA from 1 species